UGCAAGUCGAACGAGAACGGAUUAUAGCUUGCUAUAAUUGUCAGCUAAGUGGCGCACGGGUGAGUAAUGUAUAGGUAAUAUGCCUCUUACUAAGGGAUAACAAAUGGAAACGUUUGCUAAUACCUUAUACUCCUUAUUAACAUAAGUUAAUAAGGGAAAGAUUUAUUGGUAAGAGAUUAGCCUGUAUUGUAUCAGUUAGUUGGUGGGGUAAUGGCUUACCAAGACUAUGACACAUAACUGGUUUGAGAGGAUGAUCAGUCACACUGGAACUGAGACACGGUCCAGACUCCUACGGGAGGCAGCAGUGGGGAAUAUUGCACAAUGGACGAAAGUCUGAUGCAGCAACGCCGCGUGGAGGAUGACACAUUUCGGUGCGUAAACUCCUUUUAUAUGAGAAGAUAAUGACGGUAUUAUAUGAAUAAGCACCGGCUAACUCCGUGCC
rnacentral:rRNA from 1 species